rnacentral:tRNA from 1 species
AUUCUCAUGAUGUAGCUCAGGCUAGCCCCGGAUUCAGUAGGGAGCCCAGCCUGGCCUCCAAGUUGCGGUGAAUCUCCUGCCUCAACCUCCCAAGUGCUGGGCUUACAAGCUUGAGCCACCGUGCCUGGCCAAGAGGCAUUUCUUUUCUUCUCUUCUCUUUUCUUUUGAGACAAGGUCUUGCGAUGUAGGUUGAUCUGGGCUUGAACUCACGAUGUGGACCAGGCUGGCCUUGAACUCUUGGGCGAUCCUCCUGGCUCAGCUUUCUGAGUGCUCGGAUUACAGACAUGCAGCCCCAUGCCCGCUGCUGAACACGAUGGUUUCUUUGUCUUUUUUCCUUUUUGGAAAUUAACACAUUUUAGAUGUACAUAAUGAUAGCAUGCAAGAGAAGGAAUUUGUGCCGGCAGGUGAUGUAUCUUGCUUCUUCUCCUUUUUUUCCCCGCAUUCCCCUCCCCUCCCAACAACCCACGAGUUUCCUCUCUGAAACUGAGGUUUCACUUUGGAAAAAGGAAUUCCUGCCUCUUUAACACCUGACCAGGUCCCUGAGCGCUGCUUCCCAGAAUGCCGGGCACUAUGUAAAUAGCCACCAUCCAGAGUGAGCAUGAUUCAUACCAUAGGACAAGGCAAAGAGAACUUUGAAAUGUCAUUUGUGGUGACGAUUACAUAAAAGGAAAUUACAGGUACUAAAAUCAACUCUCUCCCAUUUUCACAAGGUGUAUCACCAUACUGGAAAAAGUUAGGUCCUUUGGGCCUUUAUAUGGGUGCGUGAGAAGAUGGCCUCCUGCCCGGAUGAUCCUCAGUGGUCUGGGGUGCAGGCUUCAAACCUGUAGCUGUCUGGCGACAGAGUGGUUCAAUUCCACCUUCCGGGCGAUAGAUACUUGCUUUUUUUCCCCGAACCUGCCGACCACCUUGGAGGGUGUCAGCUCUGCCAAGAUGCACUCCCACACCCGCGCCUGGAGAGGUUCCUGAGCCUUCCACAUUCCCAUUGACACUCUUGCCAGGUGGGCCUUGGCCUGUGGUUGCUUUCUUCUCAGCAAGAGCUAAGAUGACUGGAAAAGACAAAGAACGUUUCUUCUACACAACUGCAGGGUAUUCAGCAGGUGUUUGGCCUCGCAAUGUUCUGGCCCCAGCCAUCUA